rnacentral:rRNA from 1 species
UACGUAGGGUGCAAGCGUUAUCCGGAUUCACUGGGUUUAAAGGGUGCGUAGGAGGGCAGGGAAGUCAGUGGUGAAAUCUCCGAGCUUAACUCGGAAACUGCCGUUGAUACUCUCUGUCUUGAAUACCGUGGAGGUGAGCGGAAUAUGUCAUGUAGCGGUGAAAUGCUUAGAUAUGACAUAGAACACCAAUUGCGAAGGCAGCUCGCUACACGAAUAUUGACUCUGAGGCACGAAAGCGUGGGGAUCAAACAGG